rnacentral:rRNA from 1 species
GACGAACGCUGGCGGCGUGCUUAACACAUGCAAGUCGAACGGAAAGGCCCUGCUUUUGUGGGGUGCUCGAGUGGCGAACGGGUGAGUAACACGUGAGUAACCUGCCCUUGACUUUGGGAUAACUUCAGGAAACUGGGGCUAAUACCGGAUAGGAGCUCCUGCUGCAUGGUGGGGGUUGGAAAGUUUCGGCGGUUGGGGAUGGACUCGCGGCUUAUCAGCUUGUUGGUGGGGUAGUGGCUUACCAAGGCUUUGACGGGUAGCCGGCCUGAGAGGGUGACCGGCCACAUUGGGACUGAGAUACGGCCCAGACUCCUACGGGAGGCAGCAGGGGGGAAUAUUGCACAAUGGGCGGAAGCCUGAUGCAGCAACGCCGCGUGCGGGAGGAUGGCCUUCGGGUGGUAAACCGCUUUCGCCUGUGACGAAGCGUGAGGGACGGUAAUGGGUAAAGAAGCACCGGCUAACUACGU